rnacentral:rRNA from 1 species
CACCGGCAGCUCAAGUGGUGGCCGUUUUUAUUGGGCCUAAAGCGUUCGUAGCCGGCCUGAUAAGUCUCUGGUGAAAUCCCAUAGCUUAACUGUGGGAAUUGCUGGAGAUACUAUCAGGCUUGAGAUCGGGAGAGGUUAGGGGUACUCCCAGGGUAGGGGUGAAAUCCUAUAAUCCUGGGAGGACCACCUGUGGCGAAGGCGCCUAACUGGAACGAAUCUGACGGUGAGUAACGAAAGCCAGGGGCGCGAACCGGAUUAGAUACCCGCGUAGUCC